GGGGUUUGCGGCGCUCGCGGCCGGGGUCCGCGUCGGGCUGUGUGCGCAGGCGCGCGUCGCUCCUCGGCGGGGCGUCCGGGUGGUGGUGAGCUUAGCUCGGCGCGGUGGCGUGUGGGUCAGGCGGGAGUCCUGGAGGUUGGGCCGUGGUCCGCGCGGGCGGGUCGAGGCCGCCGAGAGGGGCGCAGCCUCGGGGCCCGCUCGGGCCGCCCUCCCCGGCGGGGGCCAUGUCCACAGUGAGUGCGGCGCCCGAGCGAAAGCGCCGGAAGUGCCGUGUUUCGGGGAGAGGCCGCGCUUGCUGCAGCGUCUCCAUCCUCAUAACAGCUGAGGCGGCCGGAACGUGGCCCAGAGGACGGAGCGACAGACCGCCCCGGGCCCCGCGGAUUAGGGAGGCUCUGCUGGAACAAAGCAACGCUGCUGAGGUCAGGAGGAGGGGGCUUCAGGAACAGGCAUCACACCGGGAGGAACCUGAGACCCAUCAGAGCUUCAGAAGCGGGGAAGAACCCAGGUAUGCCUUCCCAGGUUGCAGCGCUCUUCCUAGAACAACAGAAAAUGAACAUCUCAGAAAUGUGCUGGUCAGGGAUCUGUGUCAUUCGAGAAUGUGAUUGUGGACUUCACCCGGGAUGAGUGGCUACAACUGACCGGUGUGCAGAGGGCCCUGUACCAGGAUGUGAUGCUGGAGAACUACAGGCACCUGGUCUCAGUGGGGGCCCCAGUGUUCAAGCAGCUUCUCAGAAGUCUCACCCUGAAUCUCACUCACAGGGUGUUGCAUCACCCAGCCAGAGGUGAUCUUCAGGCUGAUGCAAGGAGAAGAGCCGUGGCCAUUAGCAGGAGAAUUCCAAGGCUGGAGUGAUCCAGGUGAGCGAGUCAUCGCCAGGCGAAAAAAAGAAGCCAGUGGUAAUCAGGGCCCAGGUUGGUUCAGAGGUUGGGACCUUUGGUCUGUUCCUCAGUGAUUCUGUGAAGGGCUCUCAGAGCUUUGGAAGUAACUGAACAGCAAGCCAGCAUGCCUCAAAUAAGCUGCAUCACAUUCUGUUCAUCACUCUUAGAUACAAAUGCUUUCCUUUUCUGCCUGACUUUUAGUGAAGUUGACCAUUCUCAUACCCAGUAUUGAAACCCACCUGCCUCAUCAACCUUUGUUCUUGGUUUCUCUUUCUCUAGUGUUAAUUUUCCCUCUAUUUUCAUAGGCUUUUUUUUUUUUUAAUUUCCACCCUAGGCAUUAAUGAAUGAAUUUAUUAAUUCUGUAGAUAUUCCUACUAUGAGCCACUUGAGUUCUCGGUGAUGUUGCUCAAAAACUCAUAUAAGUUCCAUUUGAUCAGUCUCCUAAGCAUUACUCAGACCUUUCUGCACAGCUGCACCUCUUCUUGACGUUUGCCCAUCCCAAUCCUGAAAGAAGGGCUUGGGAUUGUGUCUCCUUAAAGUCCAUGCUUACUGGGCUUAUUUUUACACUUAUUUAUGUUUAAGCUAAAGUUUUCACCUGUGGUUUGAAGUGCUUCAUAAUUAAUCUAGCCAGUUAAUCCCUCCCUUCUACAAUUCUCAUUUCACUUAGUCGCUAAGCCACAAGCAACUUGAUCAAGUACUGUGACACCAGAGAGCAUCUGGUUGUUGCCUGAGGCUUUUUUCCCCAUCUGGAGGGUCUCCUUUUUCACUCUUUCUUACUGUGAUGUGUAAUAUAUAGUAGGUAUGUUCACCUCUUAACGCUGUUAGAUAUGUUUAUUCAGAAAGCAUUUUCUAAUAAGCAUUACAUAGGCCUAUGUGACAUUCCUGUAGAUUCUUAUUCAUAGGAUAUAUAGAUUUUCAUGGGACCAUGACAGUUUAUAGCCUAAAUUUUGAAUAAAUUUCCAUGUAAUUUGAUGGCAUACUGUUUGUUGAGGUCCACUAACUAUACGAGUAUAUCUACUCAAAAGAAUUUAAAGGCAACUGGAGAUACAUUAAAACCUGCUAGGAGCAUAGGUUGUAGUUGGUAGAGGUAAACAAAAUUGUAUGGUAUAUUUUGAAAUUCACAGUUAUCAAGUGCUAUUUGGAUAUAGUCAAUGCUUUUCAUAGUGUGUUAAUGAGAAGUAUAGGUAGUGACUGCUUUCAGUGUUUGAGAAAAUGGUCUUUAAAAGUCAUGAUUUCAAAAAGUAUGAGUGUGUUUGUGUGUGAGAGAGAGGGUGGGAGCCUAGGGAGAGAUGGAUUUCCUGGACAACAUCUGGGUUUUCAGUGGAACCAAAGCUGAAAAGCAGGCAGGCUGAGCAUAAGAAUCUGUGUCAGACUUAUAACUUGUGAUUGGAAAUAAAUACUUCUAAAAAUAUUUAUGUAUUUUUGUGACGGUAUCAUGAACAACUGAUAUAAAUCUUAUUUUGUUUGUUGGCAUAUAGAUAGUGUGCUAUAUCUGUAUAGACAUAGAUAAUCUGUUUUAUCCCACGUCUAAGACUUCCUGUGGUGUUUCUCCUGAACAUUCAUGUAUACUAAUAUUCUUGUUCCUGUUCAUGGUUUUUGUUGAGCUCACUCCAUUAUCUGAUUUUCUGUAUAAUGUUUUUCCCUCAGUUUAUCAUUUCCUGUGUUUAGCUUCCCCUUCUAUUUUUAGUUCUGAAGGUCACAUUUUAAAAAUCGCAAACAUGUAUGUUUAUUGCUAGUUUUACUCUUCUUUUUCCACCAUAGCAGGUGUUUUCUAUUUUUAUUUUUCCUGAUCCAAGGGGAAAUAUAUGCUUGAGAUUUCCUGUUAGGAGCUUGCGUCUGAACAUUGAGAAUCAGUUAUGUAAUAAAUUAUACUUGCAUAGGAAAUGUGUUAA